CUUCAACGAGCCCAGCCAGAGAGGCCGUUCCGGAUCCCUGCCCCGCCCGUAGGUAGCGAGAAGCGCCUGCGCCUC
rnacentral:antisense_RNA from 1 species